CGCAAAUGGUUUUGUCAGUCCGC
rnacentral:siRNA from 1 species